rnacentral:siRNA from 1 species
UUAAUUCGAUUAUUUGCCUUAUA